rnacentral:rRNA from 1 species
CACGUAGGGGCGAGCGUUGUCCGGAAUUACUGGGCGUAAAGGGCGCGCAGGCUGUUAUGCGAGUCUGCUGUGAAAUGUACCGGCUCAACCGGUGCCUUGCGGCGGAUACUGCAUAGCUGGAGUACUGGAGAGGUUAUCGGAAUUCCCGGUGUAGCGGUGAAAUGCGUAGAGAUCGGGAGGAACACCAGUGGCGAAGGCGGGUAACUGGACUGCAACUGACACUGAGGCACGAAAGCGUGGGGAGCAAACAGGAUUAGAUA